UUAAGUUCCCAGCAGAAGGGAUGCCCCCCAUUCUCUUGCCUGAAGUUUCCCUGGCACAGCUGUCUUUGCACCAUUAGUGGGUGGCGAGGCCCGGCUGGUCUUCGCUGAUGCGUGUUUUACAUUGGCUAACUUCGGCUCAGCCGCUGCACACGGGCGCACCCCGGAUGGGCUCGCUGUAGAGCUGGCAGAGGCGGGCUCCCCUUCUCUGCAGGAAACAGAUGCAUCUCGGCUGGAAGCCUGCCAUCACCUUCGUGUGGCUUAUGAACCCAGAGCACAGCAUGCUGGGGUGUCAGAAUACCAGCGUCUGCUUCCAGCAAAACCACAGCCGCAGCUGGCCUUGUGCCACACAACGGUGCCGUAUUCUCCUGCUUGGACUCGGGGCAGGACUUACUCCUACCAACGGGAUGUUCAGCGUGGGAUUUAAACAGAAGCUGCAAAUGUGCUUGCACCCUUGGGCUUAUCUGCUCUUCUACCCUGGUGUUGCCAGAUGAACGCGCCCCAGGCUGGCCUGCCGGAGGAUGAGAAAUGGGUAGACCGGCGUCGUGUGGCCCGGGUGGUCCCAGCCGUGGCCAAACACAGAUCAGGUAAGAGGCAGCCAACACCAGCCAUAUGAACAAGCCCAGCCAAGAUCAGAACGGGUCUGCUGACCCGCAGACUUGUGUACUAAAUUCAUGCUUAUUAUUUGAAGUCGUGGGCCAUUUGUGAUGUAGUUAUCGUGGUAACUGAUAGCUGAGAGGUUAAGCUAGUGGCAGACUGGCCCUCCGGGGACAGGAUCCAAAGGAACACUGAGCCCACUUGCACCACCUCCCAAGGCCUCUGGAAACUGACAGGGGAAGGAAGGAACCCUACUGUGGAGUUUCAAAUGCUUCCGCCAUGCAGGUGGGGGAUCAGACUCAGGGAGAUUCAGGACAGCAAAGUAAAUACAAGUGCAGGCUCUGCAGUCAGGUUCCUGAGCCCGAAGCCCAGAUGCGCUUAGAAGCUCUAUGUUCCUCGGCAAGUUACUUUACCUCUUUGUGCCUCAGUUUCCUCAUGUGUAAAACAGAGAGGAUAAUAAAUAGCAUCUACCUCAUCA
rnacentral:lncRNA from 1 species